rnacentral:rRNA from 1 species
CAGCAGCCACGGGAAAACGGAGGGUGCAAGCGUUAAUCGGAAUUACUGGGCGUAAAGCGUGCGUAGGCGGUUCGUUAAGUCUGUUGUGAAAGCCCCGGGCUCAACCUGGGAAUGGCAAUGGAUACUGGCGAGCUAGAGUGUGUCAGAGGAUGGUGGAAUUCCCGGUGUAGCGGUGAAAUGCGUAGAGAUCGGGAGGAACAUCAGUGGCGAAGGCGGCUCACUGGACGACUGUUGACGCUGAGGUGCGAAAGCGUGGGGAGCAAACAGGAUUAGAUACCCCUGUAGUCCCUGUCUCUUAUAC